rnacentral:rRNA from 1 species
GAUGAACGCUGGCGGCGUGCCUAAUACAUGCAAGUAGAACGCUGAAGGAGGAGCUUGCUCUUCUGGAUGAGUUGCGAACGGGUGAGUAACGCGUAGGUAACCUGCCUGGUAGCGGGGGAUAACUAUUGGAAACGAUAGCUAAUACCGCAUGACAACAGUUAUUGCAUGAUAACUGUUUAAAAGGGGCAACUGCUCCACUACCAGAUGGACCUGCGUUGUAUUAGCUAGUUAGUGAGGUAACGGCUCACCAAGGCGACGAUACAUAGCCGACCUGAGAGGGUGAUCGGCCACACCGGGACUGAGACACGGCCCAGACUCCCACGGGAGGCAGCAGGAGGGGAUCUUCGGCAAUGGACGGAAGUCUGACCGAGCAACGCCGCGGGAGGGAAGGAGGUUUUCGGAUCGUAAAGCUCUGUUGUAAGAGAAGAACGAGUGUGAGAGUGGAAAGUUCACACUGUGACGGUAUCUUACCAGAAAGAGACGGCUAACUACGUG